GCACAUUAUGUUUGUAUGAAUUAAUAUACAGAAAACACAUUUCUGUAUACUGAGCAGAUACAGAGCUGCAAAAAAAUAUUUUUUUCAGGGAUGGGGCAGGAUGUGAGUAUUAGGAAAGAAGUUAAGCAGCUCUGUCACCUCUGGGGAUCUCGACAUUUAAUGAAUGUGUGGCAGCUCGGAGGUGAAGCCAUCUUUCUUCUUCAUAAAUCACCAAAUUCCAGAAGUGCUCACUGGGGUAACCCUUAAGUGAUUACAUAUAGUAUAUAACUUGAAAUCCCCUUAUUUAAAUGAUAAAACCUUCAAUAGAGUAUAGGAAAACGUUUUACCCGUGUACUCACUCAGGUUCUAGUCAGUGAAGGAUAGUCAGGAAUGGAUACUAUCUAGAUAAUAUCUAGAAUGAUAGUCUGAUACGAUCUAGAAGCAUAGUCUAGGAUACUAUCCAGAAGGAUAGUCCAGGAUACUAUCUAGAAGGAUAGUCUAGGAUACUAUCCAGAAGGAUGGUCCAUGAUACUAUCUAGAA